GCCAGGGUGGUGUAGCGGCAGCAUCCGGGACUGUGGAUCCCGUGACCCGGGUUCAAAUCCCGGCCCUGGCC
rnacentral:tRNA from 1 species